GUGCCACAUCAGUAAGAGUGAUGUCCAUAAAGAGAAGUUAGACACCAGGACACCCUUCUGAAAGGCAUCUUUAAAAUUUAUGCGGAAUUUUCUUGAAACCACACUUACUUGGCUUCAGAGAGAGAAGCAAGAGCACCUCUCCUUUCUUUUCCUAUUUGGAGGAAUAACUUCGGCACUGUGAAAAAUCCUCCCCUUCUGGCUGGAAUUAACUACCCUCAAAAAAUGUGCACAAGCAAAUUCAAGACAAUGAGACUAACAGUAAAAUAGACAUUCUUCAGGUUUUAGACGUGUCCGGCAAAGCUAGACGCUAAGGUGACUUUUUAAAGCAAUUGAACUUUUAAGUCCUUUCUGUUUUAUUAUAAAAAUGAAAAUGUGUUCCUAGAAUACAAACAUGGUUUACUCUAGAUAAAAAGAAAAAACAUAACCUAGGAUGAGGCCAUAGAUUUAAACAUGAGAAAAUAGGAGUAUUUUUCUUUCAAAUAAAAUUAAGAAACAACGCAAAGAUGUAUU
rnacentral:lncRNA from 10 species